UGCUGGGUCCUCUGGCCUGGAACAGCCUCUUGUUCAGUUUCCAGACCUACGAAAGGUCCAUGACACAUAAAAUCGUUGUGCACAAUAGAUUUAACCUUCAGUUUCUGAAUAAAUGAAGGAGAUUAUAACAGUGCAGACUGGAAUCAACUCAAGGUGAAUAUUUAACAUUUUCAGUCAUCUCAGCCAUUAGGGAUUAUUCCCCAGCCAGCUCUCUAAUGCUUAUCCCCACUUGAAGUUCUCUGCUUUGUCCAGAAUCUUCUUUUCAUCCCCUUUCUUCUAGGAUCCUAACAAUCUCUCAGAGUUUUUAUUCCGUUGAGCAUCGACUUCUCUUUAUGUAUGUCAAUCCUCCCCACCUCAAUCCCCCCCCACCAGUGCCCACAAGUACUUCUGAUAAAUAUUUGCUAUUCAAAUAAUGGAUUGCACUGUGAGAAUGCAGGUUUCACUGAGAGAAACCUUCCAGAAGCACCUGUCAGAUGUGUGUGAUUAUGGGAGUGAUGCAGACAGGUUUGUGGAUAAGAGAAAAACCUUUCUCCUUCCCAAAGAUAUGGAAAACAUUUCCCAGAAGCCACACAGAAUUGAGAUGUCAGAGAUGCAAAAAAGACUGGGCUGCCUUCUCUCGUGUUAGAAAAUCUCAUAAUUCUGCCCCCACCCCCAUUCCCAGCAGACUUUCACAUCUCUUCAGCUAGAAAGAGAAUCACAUAGCCACGCCAAGAACCAUCAGAGCUUAGAGGAUGGAACUAGCCAACCAUGAUUGGCUAAGAUGUAUGAAGAUUCACUACCUGGGGCAUGGUAUCUGUGAGCUGUAUGGAAGGGUGUGGUUCUCAAUGUCACAGUCCAAGAUUGAACUCCAGGUACCACAUCCAUUCCCAAGGAGCAGGAAGAGGAAGACCAAAGGGGGGAGGACGGCUCACCCCUUCCCUGUAAGGGCCUGACCUGGGAAGUGCAUGGAACACUUCUGUUGUCUUGAGGAGUGAAUAAAUUAAUAGAGUUUUGAACAGCA